rnacentral:rRNA from 1 species
GACGAACGCUGGCGGCGUGCUUAACACAUGCAAGUCGAACGAAAAGGCCCUGCGCUUGCGGGGUGCUCGAUUGGCGAACGGGUGAGUAACACGCGAGUAACCUGCCCUUGACUUUGGGAUAACUCCUGGAAACUGGGGCUAAUACCGGAUAGGAGCUCCCGCUGCAUGGGGGGGGAUGGAAAGAUUCGGCUGUUGGGGAUGGACUGGCGGCUCAUCCGCUUGUUGGUGGGGUAGUGGAUUACGAAGGCUUUGACGGGUAGCCGGCCUUGGAGGGGGGCCGGGCACAUUGCGCCUACGGUACGGCCCAGACGCCUACGUGCGGCAGCAGGGGGAAACCUUGCACAACGGGCGGAAGCCUGAUACGGCAGCGCCGCGUGCGGGAUGACGGCCUUCGAGUUGUGAACCACUUUGGCAUGUGACGAAGCGUGAGUGACGGUACUGGGUAAAAAAGCACCGGCUAACUACGUG